rnacentral:rRNA from 1 species
UACAGAGGUCCCAAGCGUUGUUCGGAUUCAUUGGGCGUAAAGGGUGCGUAGGCGGCGCGGUAAGUCGGGUGUGAAAUCUCGGGGCUUAACUCCGAAACUGCAUUCGAUACUGCCGUGCUUGAGGACUGGAGAGGAGACUGGAAUUCCCGGUGUAGCGGUGAAAUGCGCAGAUAUCGGGAGGAACACCGGUGGCGAAGGCGGUUCUCUGGGCCUUACCUGACGCUGAGGAGCGAAAGCGUGGGGAGCGAACAGG